rnacentral:sRNA from 1 species
GCCAGGUGAGGUGGUGCACGCCUGUCAUCCCAGCAGCUUGGGAGGCUGAGACAGGAGGAUCGCGAGUUCAAAACCAGCCUCAGCAAAAGUGAGGCGCUGAGCAACUCAGUGAGACCCUGUCUCUC